AGAGUUUGAUCCUGGCUCAGGACGAACGCUGGCGGCGUGCUUAACACAUGCAAGUCGAACGGAAAGGCCCUUCGGGGUACUCGAGUGGCGAACGGGUGAGUAACACGUGGGUAAUCUGCCUGCACUUCGGGAUAAGCCUGGGAAACUGGGUCUAAUACCGGAUAGGACCACGGGAUGCAUGUCCUGUGGUGGAAAGCUUU
rnacentral:rRNA from 1 species